AGAGUUUGAUCCUGGCUCAGGAUGAACGCUGGUGGUAUGCUUAACACAUGCAAGUUGAACGAUGGCUCUUGAAGUCAUAGUAGCGGACGGGUGAGUAACGCGUAAGUUAUCAACACUUGGGUGAGGGACAACAAAUGGAAACGUUUGCUAAUACCUCGUAAUACUGAAGAGUUAAAGUAUGAAUAAUACCCCUGAGUACGAGCUUGCGUCUGAUUAGCUUGUUGGUGGGGUAACAGCCUACCAAGGCUUUGAUCAGUAGCUGGUUUGAGAAAACGAUCAGCCACACUGGAACUGAGACACGGAACAGACUCCUACGGGAGGCAGCAGUGGGGAAUAUUUCGCAAUGGGCGAAAGCCUGACGAAGCAAUACCACGUGGAGGAUGAAGGCCUUUGGGUUGUAAACUCCCUUUCUCAUUGAAGAAGAUCUGACGGUAUUUGAGGAAUAAGUAUCGGCUAACUCUGUGCCAGCAGCCGCGGUAAUACAGAGGAUACAAGCGUUAUCUGGAAUUAUUGAGCGUAAAGCGUUCUGUAGAUGGUUUUCUAAGUUUAAUGUUAAAGAUCAGGGCUUAACUUUGAAAUGGCAUUGAAAACUGGGAGACUUGAGUACGAUAGAGGUAGAGGGAAUUUCCAGUGUAGCGGUGAAAUGCGUAGA
rnacentral:rRNA from 1 species